rnacentral:rRNA from 1 species
UGGCGACCGGCGCACGGGUGAGUAACGCGUAUCCAACUUGCCCUUUACUAUGGGACAGCCCGUCGAAAGGCGGAUUAAUACCGUAUGUUGUCAUGUUGAUGCAUAUUUUCAUGACCAAAGGCUUCGGCCGGUAAAGGAUGGGGAUGCGUCUGAUUAGCUUGCCGGCGGGGUAACGGCCCACCGGGGCGACGAUCAGUAGGGGUUCUGAGAGGAAGGUCCCCCACAUUGGAACUGAGACACGGUCCAAACUCCUACGGAAGGCAGCAG